AGUCAUACAGGACGGAAACGGGCUCUUCAGCUCAGUUUGUCCAUACUGACCAAAAUGUCUAUUUGAGUUUGUCCCAUUUGCUUGUGUUUGGCCCAAAAUGGAGACCAAGAUCAGCCUGGCAAGUGAUGGACACACAGAAGCACCUCGACGAUGAGUGCUUAAGCCCACCGCUCUACUCUCUCUACACUCAUGAUGGUGUGGCUAGGCACAGCUCAAGGCACCAUCUAUAAAUUUGCCAACGACGCCAACUGUUGGCAGGAUCUCCGAUGGUGACAAGGAGGCGCAGUGGAGUGAGGAGAUGGAGAGAGAAGAUGCCAGAAAGGAGAAGUCAUAGACACCAGAAAGGAAUGGACUUGGAGUGGGGCCGGGAGUCGAUGAAGCCUGGGGAAAUCGAUGGAGGACCAAUGAAGGGGAAACCGUGAGCGCCAACUUGUGCACGUUAGACUGUUUCAUUAAAAUGGGCCCUUUUCUGUUUGUUUUACUUUAGUCACAUUAAGAAUUAUAAAGCUAAAUCAUUUA